AUUUUAGUGAUACCAAUAAAAAUUCUUGUAUUUAUAAUUAAUAACAACAAACAAAGACAAAUAAUCGUUAAGAUUGUCUUAGUACCAACAAGCUACACAUAUUUAAUAAGUAUCUAAUAUCUACAGUUCAAAUCUAACCCCCUUCCAGUUGAAGAGUUUAAACAAUCGAAAAGAGACGAUAGAAGGCAGUAACAUUCACAGUAUUAAUAAAGUUAUAACUGCAGGGUCAUAGCUAGACAUUUUCCAUCUUUUGGGGGCCCGGGAGGCUUGAGCUCUUUGGGGGCUCCUGCAUUUUGCAUAAAUUUAAUUUUUUAUGUAAAAAACACUCAUUAGGAGGCCCCCCUCAAGUGGGGGCCCGGGGAAAUUUUGAAAUUCUCCCCUCUCCUCUCCCCCCCCCCCCCCC